CGCCGGCCUGCGGAGGGGGCACAGGGGGCUGAGCGCGGUCUGGCAGGCCCCCCUCCGCACCCCAUUUGUGGCCAACCUUCCCACACACGGGGACAAGUUCUCCUCCUGCUCUGAGGUUCUUCACCCAUUGGUUCUCCAGGACCCUGGGACCUCCCCCUCCUUCCUACCUCCCUUCGAAUAUAAACACCUGGAGGCCUAUCCUUCAAAAUCUACCUCAAAUCCUCCCAAAAGGGGGUCUCAAAAGUACCUCAGGAUCCUCAGUUGAGAGCUGGGAAGGAUCCUAGAGAUGAAUGGAUCCAGUCCUCCUAUGUAGCAGAAGAAAGAGCUGACAUCUGGUGUGGAGACGAGUUUUGUUCAAAGGACUAUAGUAACCUCAGCCCUUGGUAAUCUUCCCUUCUCAGUCCUGCAGCCCCAGCGGGGCCCACAUCGAACCCCCCAUUUGGAUUCUACCUCCCAGCAUCUGGCUGCCUCUUAGGGAUGCUAAUCUCUGAGCCUCUGGCUAAGUAUGUAAACAAUAAAUGCUCAACGAUUGUCCAUAUUGGAUAUCCUUGACUUUGCUAUACUUAUCGUUCUUGCUACUCCUUUUACGAUAGUAUCUUAAGGUUUGCAAAAUGCUUUCCUCCCAAUAACCUGGUUCAACAGAUAGCACAGAGAUGAUUUCCAUUUUAGAUGAGGAAACUGAGACUCCAGGCUCAAACAGUGAUCAAAUGAGCAUUAGAGGUAGAU